rnacentral:rRNA from 1 species
AAUGAACGCUGGCGGCGUGCUUAACACAUGCAAGUCGUACGAGAACACCUUAGCUUGCUAGGGUAAGUAAAGUGGCGCACGGGUGAGUAACGCGUGGGUAAUCUGCCUUCGAAUUGGGGAUAACGUUGCGAAAGCGACGCUAAUACCGAAUAACAUCCAUGGGUCUUCGGAUCUUUGGAUCAAGGGUGGCCUCUACAUGUAAGCUACUGUUUGAAGAUGAGCCCGCGUACCAUUAGCUUGUUGGUGGGGUAAUGGCCUACCAAGGCGACGAUGGUUAGCUGGUCUGAGAGGAUGAUCAGCCACACUGGAACUGACACACGGUCCAGACUCCUACGGGAGGCAG